UGGCUCAGUGAGUAGAGUAUGAGAUUCUUGAUCUCAGAGUUGUGGGUUCAAGUCCCAC
rnacentral:tRNA from 1 species